GGGAGAUUGUGGAUUACAGAGAGGAUGUGACUGGGCCGUGAGAUUUUAGUUUUGAGGAAUUUUCCCAGUGCUCAAACUUAUUUCUGACCUGUUGUGUCAUAGCUCUGAGGUUAAGGGUUAGGUAUCAGUCUGUCUAAUUAAAUGUAAUCUGUAUGGAAAACCAUACUUGUGUGUGUGCAUGUAGAUUUAUAUUUUGCGCUUCUCUCUAUGUGUGUAUAUGUGAAAAAGCCAGUUUUAGCAUACCAGUUGGCAGUUAAGUGUGUUUGAGCGAGUGUGCAUGCAUUCAUGCAUGUGUACAUGGUGUAUGUGUACAUAUGCUUGUGUGUGUGUGUGUGUGUGUGUGUGUGUGUGUGUGUGUGUGUGUGUGUGUGUGUGUGUGUGUGUGUGUGUGUGUGUGUGUGUGUGUGUGUGUGUGUGUGUGUGUGUGUGUGUGUGUGUGUGUGUGUGCGUGAAUGUGUGUGUCUUCAUUUCACAGGAUAUGCUGCAAUCCCCACCCUCCUCCCCAUGGCUGUAAAGUGAAAAGGCAUUAUUUGCAUAAGCUAUAUCUGUGUGGAAGGAAGGUAACUAGCGGAGUUAGCGAAUUAUUAAGCCUCUCGGGUAUAAAAGGGUCUUGUUAAGAGAAAGGGGUGAGACAAGGAAGGGCUCUGUCCCAGUACUUCUAAAUAAUGUCCUUUCCUUCAUGUCCUUUUAGAACAGUAGUGAUGAAGGAAAGAAAAUUAGGAAACGGAGCUACUGUCAAGUAGGGGGCAAGGAGUGUGGGCAAGGAGGGGCAAGGAGUGUGAAUAGAGUGGGAGCAGAGAAGAUCUGUGAAGAUGCUACCUUCAUAAAAGACUAUGGUUUCAACUAUGCCGGAUGGUGCGUUUGGGCAGUGCUGAUACCGCUUCCCUUAUCAACUCUAUCACUUCCUCUUCCUCCUUCCUACUCCGAUAACCUAGGAAGAGCAUUGUGAUGUCACACCGACCCUUCCUUUUUCCAGGGAGAGUGAGUGCAGCUGGGAGAUAUCAACCGACGCUGCACCCGUCGCACAAUAAACAGAGAAAAGGCUCAGUCUCCGUUUGUUUCUUUUGGCUCCCCACACAACAUGUGUUUCUUUGUUGAGUACGGUAUGGCAACAAUGCUUGCCAGUCAAGGAGUUAAAUGUCCAAUGCAGCCGUUUUUAUGUCAAUUUCAUUUCUUAGACAACAAUGAAUUAAUUACCUUAUAUGGAAACCACGUUUGAAUCCGUUCCAUUUAUUCCAUUCCAGCCAUUACAAUGAGCCCGUCCUACUAUAGCCUCCCACCAGCCCCAUGAUUUUUGGGUAACGAUUAAGUACCUUACUGUCAUUGUUUUCAAUUAACUAAGAGCAAUUUCUCAAGCAAGAAUUUAGCUAGGACUGUCUGGGAAUGGAGGGGAGGGGCUGAAAACCAGCUGUUAAUGGCAGAGAUGUUUGGAACCCUUGAUCUCUUUAUCACUUUUUUUUAAUUAUUAUUUUAUUUUACCCCUUUUUCUCCCCAACUUCGUGGUAUCCAAUUGGAAGUUACAGUCUUGUCUCAUCGCUGCAACUCCCGUUACGGAGAGGCGAAGGUCAAGAGCCGUGCGUCCUCCGAAACACAACCCAGCCAAGCUGCACUGCUUCUUGACACAAUGCCCACUUAACCAGGAAGCCAGCCGCACCAAUGUGUCGGAGGAAACACCGUACACCUGGUGACCUAGUCAGCGUGCACUGCAUGCGGCCCGCCACAGGAGUCGCUAGUGCGCGAUGGGACAAGGACAUCCCUGCCGACCAAACCCUCCCCUAACCCGGACGACGCUGGGCCAAUUGUGCGCCGCCCCAUG
rnacentral:lncRNA from 1 species